AGUGAACGCUGGCGGUAGGCCUAACACAUGCAAGUCGAACGGCAGCACAGUAAGAGCUUGCUCUUACGGGUGGCGAGUGGCGGACGGGUGAGGAAUACAUCGGAAUCUACUUUUUCGUUGGGGAUAGCGUAGGGAAACUUACGCUAAUACCGCAUACGACCUACGGGUGAAAGCAGGGGAUCUUCGUACCUUGCGCGAUUGAAUGAGCCGAUGUCGGAUUAGCUAGUUGGCGGGGUAAAGGCCCACCAAGGCGACGAUCCGUAGCUGGUCUGAGAGGAUGAUCAGCCACACUGGAACUGAGACACGGUCCAGACUCCUACGGGAGGCAGCAGUGGGGAAUAUUGGACAAUGGGCGCAAGCCUGAUCCAGCCAUACCGCGUGGGUGAAGAAGGCCUUCGGGUUGUAAAGCCCUUUUGUUGGGAAAGAAAAGCAGCAGGUUAAUACCCCGCUGUUCUGACGGUACCCAAAGAAUAAGCACCGGCUAACUUCGUG
rnacentral:rRNA from 1 species